rnacentral:rRNA from 1 species
GUAGGUGGCAAGCGUUGUCCGGGAAUUAUUGGGGCGUAAAGCGCGCGCAGGCGGUUCUUUAAGUCUGAUGUGAAAGCCCACGGGCUCAACCGUGGAGGGUCAUUGGAAACUGGAGAACUUGAGUACAGAAGAGGAAAGCGGAAUUCCACGUGUAGCGGUGAAAUGCGUAGAGAUGUGGAGGAACACCAGUGGCGAAGGCGGCUUUCUGGUCUGUAACUGACGCUGAGGCGCGAAAGCGUGGGGAGCAAACAGGAUUAGAUACCCUGGUAGUCCACGCCGUAAACGAUGAGUGCUAAGUGUUAGGGGGUUUCCGCCCCCUUAGUGCUGCAGCUAACGCAUUAAGCACUCCGCCUGGGGAGUACGGCCGCAAAGGCUG